GCGUUAGGGUGGAGAAGAAGGACUCGGCCUUAGGCGCUGACACAGAGGAGCUUCAUUAAUUACCGGUCCACUUCAGGUGGGGCAGAGAGGCAGGAAUGCAGAUGCAGGUCGAGGAUAUGGAAAGUGUAGCCAACAACCUAACCCUGUCCAGCCUUCUGUGCCCUAGUCAUUCACAGGUACCUGCUGUGAUGGGAGAUAUCUGCACACCUGUCAUCUGCAUAUGAUCUCACCUGCACAUCAACUCGGUGGAGGAGGCACUGCCGGCAUCCCCAGAUAACCCAGUCUUUAUGCUGCAGUGCCUGGCUUCCUUUCCUGUGAUGGAUAACUCUAGAGCUAUCCUGGCUCCACCCCCAAGCUAAGGAUCUCCUUCUGGGACAUCUAAGCCAAGGCAGACAGUCUGAGAGAGCCUUGGGGAAACUUCCCAAGCCCCACUGGUACUGCACUGGUGCACAAGAGCUACAGCGGAGAAUGUGGCCGUGGGGAGCUUUGUUCUAAGCAGGAAGCCUCUAUCCAAGUAACCCUU